UACGUAGGGGGCAAGCGUUGUCCGGAAUCAUUGGGCGUAAAGAGCGCGUAGGCGGUCGGCAUAGUCCGUUGUGAAAACCCAGGGCUUAACCUUGGGCCUGCAAUGGAUACUGGUCGACUAGAGUUCGGUAGAGGGAAUCGGAAUUCCUAGUGUAGCGGUGAAAUGCGCAGAUAUUAGGAAGAACACCGGUGGCGAAGGCGGAUUCCUGGGCCGAUACUGACGCUGAGGCGCGAAAGCUAGGGGAGCGAACAGG
rnacentral:rRNA from 1 species